GUACUGAUAUAUUUGAUGUGGGACUUGUCAGUAAAAAAUAGACAUGGAAAAUUCUCGUUUGUUGUAUGUUAAGUUAGCAUAACCUCACAGAUUUCUUGUUGUAAACAAGAAAUACGUCGGGCUAUUCUAUGAAAUUUACAAUACGACCAACAUGAGUUAAAAAAGUCAAACAAGCAAUUUUUAUCCAAAUGUUUGGUUGAUAUGUUUCACCCAACAAAAUUAAGGGAGGUGAGGGGUUCCAAAUCAACCAAAGGCUACGAAUGAGUCUGAAAUGACAACGAAUUUAUGAAUGAAGGUCGACAAAUGGAGACAUAAAGGUCACACUCAGCAGACAGGUUGCAGUCUGGUCUUGAAAAAAGUAUUCAAUAUAUCAGUUCAGCGAAACAGACAUUCCGGUCAGACAUGCAAACCCCGGCCUCAAACAAAUACGCCCGUUUUGUAUUCAUCAUGUUCCUUUAGUACUAAUUAAUUCUGUUGGAAAUUUUCGUUUCUAAUAGCAAAAAAGAUUAUUGUUUUCAAUCCAGAUACGGCC
rnacentral:lncRNA from 1 species